UUCCAUGUUGAAAAAUGAAGCCUAUUGAAGGGGUAUAUUAAAUCUGAGAAAUUUCAGUAAAGCUACUACUAAAAGAAAAAGAGCCAAGGCUGGAAGAUGACUUCUAAACAGACUAAAUGUUGUGGUAAGAAUUUUCCAUCUAUAGUUUUACCUUAAAAUGAAUAAUUCAGAAGACUGGGAAUAAAAUUUUGAACCUACACAUAGGUAGACAAAGUGUGAACAUUACCAGUAUAAACAAGGAGUAAUAAAAUGCAAUGGUGCUCUAAAAUGCAACCUGACAUUGUGAAAAACAGCUUUCUGCUACUGCAUUUGUACAACUAGGUACUAAUAUGAAUACUUGGAGGAAUAAAUGGUAUGUAUGGAAACAUAGAAAAUAACAGAUAAAACAGGAAUAAGUAGUUUAACCUGUUAGGUGAAAUUCCUUAGUACUGUUUUAUCUAUUGAUUUGCAUAUGGUUUCCUAUGGCAGUAAAUGUCAGUGUUUAAAUUCAUGUCACAUUUUGUCUCCCAUCCCCUGCAUUCCUUCAUGAAGGACCUGCAUGCUUUAAAGGCUGUUAUGAAAUCAUUUGUAGCCUUUAGAUAUGAUAAAAAAUUCUCUUCUAUAUAUCUCCUAAUGCUAACCCCUUCCUUGCAAAUAAAUACUAGCAUCUCAUUUGAAAUGUAUAAUAUGUAACAAGUUUACAGAAAGUCUUCAUUUAAUGUUUCUGUGAUGAUUGCACAGAAAAUAGUGGUGGGGGGUGGGGUGGAAUAAACUGGUGAUUGCUGUAUGUUGUAUUGGCUUCUUGAUCAGCUACUUGCGGAAGGUUAUCACUGUCCUGCAAAAUGCUUUCUCUCAAUUAUUAAUUUCUUUGGAAGUCAGUGUAACCAGCUUUUCUUAUAACUUCUGCCUCAAAUCACAUCUGCUUGGAAGGCAUUAGCAGACAAGUUGUCUAAGGAAAAGGAUAUGUCUUCGAGAGCUUCCAGCAGAGAAAACCUUUACAUCAGGUGUUGCAGAGUGAGGUUCUGCAACCUGAGUACGUAUGGAUUACCACUGAAUUUUGAUGAAGUUGAACAGAAUACUCUUCAAUUUACGAAGAUAGACGCUAGUGUGGCAGCUAGUUGGACUUCCCAGCACACCAAAGUGCUCGUCACCAGUUGGAAAAGGUGCUGCUCAGCACACAGCCUCGCAGCUGCCAAAGGGAGCCAGCCCCUACAUGCUGACGUUUUGGAAGGGACCUGGGAGGUGACAACGAAGGUAGAAGGUAAAGAACCUAGGGAGUGAUUUUUAAAGACAUCAAGAUGCCCAUAAAUAAUGUGUAAGUGCUCUUGCACAAGGAAUUUGAUCACACUGUUUCCUGAGCUUAUAGCUCACUGUGAGAAAUGAUGCCAGGCAGCAGAGGGCAUUGGGACGACAAGUUAAGAGGACAGGAAAGGAUGAUCAGCGGUCAGAUGAGAAAAAGUAGUGAUCUUUCAUCCCCUAGCGCUCUCGAGUGAGGAAAGCCAUGCAGAAAGCUGGGCGUGCAGGGUCAGAUAUCAAGUAUUUCCAUAUGUAUGAACAACACUGGGCAGCCACCUUACCACUAUAGGACAGCAUUUGUGCUGCUUACCUUAUGCAUGAGCCAAGCCUGGUUCCACCCUAUAGUCCCCAGCCUUGCUGUCCAUCAUUAUUCUCCUAGUCACUGUGUUUCCAAGGAGAGGUGAAAUAGAAGAUACUUUGUUUUUUCCUAUACAUCCCUCCCUCUUCCCAGCAAUUUUCCAGAGCGGAGCUGCUACAUGUAUGGAGUUAGUAGGAAUUUCAGGAUUACGAUAUGAAGAGAUUUUUGUGAUACCACCUCCCACAGGACUUCAGCUAUCCUCCUCUAAGCAAAGAAAAAAAGCAAAUUUUGUCCACCGAGUGAGUUUUCUUGAUCUACUUCAUAUUACAUAGGUGGGAGAGAAAAGAACUGAGAAUACUUUUCAUCAAACCCCAGCAUUUUAUGCACAUAAUUGUACUGGAAUUUUAUUCAUGUUUAUGUCUUUUUUUUUGAAAAGGGCAAUAAAAUAUCCACCAUAAACAGGCUGGUGGCUUUCCACACCGGUGGUGUUCUCUAUUUAUUAAAAUUAUGUUCCUUACUUUCUUCACUUCUCCUUCUUGCAUUUCCAAAGUACUGGGCUACCAGCAGCCAUAACUCAAACAGCUCUAACAAUUCCUGAAUGUAUCAUUUUAUUCUGUGCAGUAUUCUGUAUCCCUAGAUGAAUUAGGCUUGCUGGACCAAACAUUACAACCAGCUUUCCUGACUAAUGCUGCUGUGAAGUCCUUUAAUUACGCUGCUUUUACAGUCUGGAAAAAAUGGCUUUGAUCCCUUUUUAAAAUACCUCUGUAAUCAU
rnacentral:lncRNA from 1 species